GUCAGGACAGGUUCUUGGCCAGGCCUGCAGGCAGGCCUCUGCCGCUGGGCUGCUCAGGCCUGGCUUCUGUCCUGCU